rnacentral:rRNA from 1 species
GCUAAGGAAGUGUGUAACAACUCACCUGCCGAAGCAACCAGCCCUGAAAAUGGAUGGCGCUCUAGCGUUCUACCUAUACUCGACCGCUGGAACAGAGCUGGCACCUUCACUGGUGCAGGGCCCUUAUGUUCCAGUGAGUAGGGGGGUGCAGUGGUGCGCGUCGAAGGGUCUGGGCGUGAGCCUGCCUGGAGCUGCCACUGGCACAGAUCUUGGUGGUAGUAGCAAAUACUCAAGUGAGAUCCUUGAGGGCCGACGUGGAGAAGGGUUCCAUGUGAACAGUACUUGCACAUGGGUGAGUCGAUCCUAAGCCUGAGGCGAAAGCCGUUCCUACAUACUUGGGCCAACUGAACUCCAAGUGGGUGAGCGCCCGUAGGAGUGAGGCGAAAGGGAAUCCGGUACUUAUUCCGGAACCUGGACGUGAGGAGUAGUGGCACCUCGUGUGCCACCUAGCCGCAAGGCGUUUGCCUUCCUGGAGAUGUCCAACUGGAGAGUCGGGAAGAGUUUUCUUUUCUGGUUAAGGGGCUGAGGGCCUUGUGAACCGAGUCGUUCGGAGAGAGGGUCUUGGCCCCGAAGAGCGCCGCGGUUCUUGCGGCGUCCGCGCUCCUCCAGUAUGGAACUUGAAAAUCCGGGGGCAAGAAUGCGUACCUUCACGCCAGUUCGUACCCAUAUCCGCAUCUGGUGUCCGAGGUGAACAGCCUCUAGUCGAUAGAUUAAUGUAGGUAAGGGAAGUCGGCAAGCCA